CACGUAGGGAGCAAGCGUUGUCCGGAUUUAUUGGGCGUAAAGAGUUCGUAGGCGGUUAUCUAAGUCUGGUGUUAAAGCCCGAAGCUCAACUUCGGCAUGGCAUUGGAAACUGGAUGGCUAGAGUGUGGUAGAGGUAUCGGGAAUUCCUGGUGUAGCGGUGGAAUGCGCAGAUAUCAGGAGGAACACCGAUGGCGAAGGCAGUUCUCUGGGCCGUAACUGACGCUGAGGAGCGAAAGCGUGGGGAGCGAACAGG
rnacentral:rRNA from 1 species